rnacentral:rRNA from 1 species
UGAGUAACACGUAUGCAACCUGCCUGUAAGCGGGGAAUAACCCGUUGAAAGACGGACUAAUACCGCAUAAUACUAAAUUACUGCAUGGUAAUUUAUUUAAACAUUUAUGGCUUACAGAUGGGCAUGCGCAUGAUUAGCUAGUUGGAGAGGUAACGGCUCCCCAAGGCAACGAUCAUUAGGGGUUCUGAGAGGAAGGUCCCCCACACUGGUACUGAGACACGGACCAGACUCCUACGGGAGGCAGCAGUGAGGAAUAUUGGUCAAUGGACGAGAGUCUGAACCAGCCAAGUCGCGUGCAGGAAGAAUGUCCUAAUGGAUUGUAAACUGCUUUUGCAGGGGAAUAAAGUGCAUCACGUGUGAUGUUUUGUAUGUACUCUGCGAAUAAGGAUCGGCUAACUCCGUGCCAGCAGCCGC